UUGGGAUGAGAGGUGACCGGUCUAAGUUAAAACUGUCUGUUCUCUUUGGUCUCUUGCGGAAUACAGCCUGAAUUUUUGCCGUAACAACACCCUCCUUAGGCUUAAGGGUGGUCCUUGCCUUGCCUUUUAGGUCUAAUGUUGUUUCUUGAGUGGGGGUCACUUUCAGGAGCAUUUUCUUGGUUUUUCUCACUACAAGAGCUUUUAUCCACUAUAAGCCAAGGAACCAGUGUGAGGAGGGGGUCAGGGAAGUAGCCUGCUCAUUGGAGCCACUGUGAUGACCGUACACCGGAAGUCCAUUUGUCAACUGGCCUCUGGGAUCCCAUAUUUAAUUGAGACGGCCAUGACUUGUGGUAGUGAUAGCUUAGACUUCGUAAUCAAUGUUCAUCAGAAUCUCCAAGCUUUUCCACUCCUUCAGGGAGCAGUAAGGCAGUAGCUCCCAGGUAAUGCGUAGGGAAGAUUGACCAGCAACGUCUAACUGAGAAGAGGAUGUGACUUGAGGCUGGAAUCGGGUGCUCUAGAGCCCAGGAAAUGGGAAGACUCACCUCGAUGGCAGAGUGUGGUGGAUCGAUGUGCAGACAGUGGAGCUACUGAAGCAGACCUUUUUUCCUGUCGUGCCGGUCACUGAAAUGAUGAGCUUGCAGAAGAGAAAGAAUUUACUAGCGGGGCACAGUCCUGUGCAGACAGGGAAAUGCUUCAGAUAUUCUGCCUCUCAGUUUGUUGGUUUUAAGGAAGCAGCGGACAGUUUUAUGGCAACACAGCUGUGACCACUUGUCCCAGGAGAUCCAUUAGCGGAGGAAAGGGAUGGUGAAGCUGGAAAGGAUCUUGUCUUCAGUGUGGCCAUCCUGGGAAGAGCAGAGCAGCCUAAUGAUGCCAGGGUGCAUGUUUAGAAAACAGCUGCUUCAUCGUGAUCUACGGGUGGAAGUUUUGGCCUUCUUAAGUCAAAAGGUCAUUCAUCAGACACUUCCACGGGUCCAAGAGAAGAGGUUGGUGGCUUCAACUGGUUUGAGCUAGACAAUGCUACCUCUAAGUUCUUGAAAAAUAAGCAAUUGUUACUGUUAGGGUUGAGACACUCGCUGCGUGAAGGAAGACUCCAAGAGACGUUCUCUCAUGCAAAAAGCAAGGGGAUUUUAUUCACUAAGCAUGCAUGGGGCUCACUGAGCUCGCAGGAACAGAGAGCCCCAAGCCAGGUCAGUUCUGGCUCUUUAACCCGAAAAACCACAAAGGAGGGGGCUUGCAAGCAUCAUUACAGAAGCAGAUGGCAUUGGUUAAUACACAUAGUUUUUUACACUUAUUGGGCCUCUAUGAUGUAUAGUGUGCAGGAAUGCAGAGUUUUUCUGCUUAUGGGCAAGGGGAGGGGG